UUUAGAACGUCGUGAGACAGUUCGGUCCCUAUCCGCUGUGCGCGUAGGAGUCUUGAGGAGGGCUGUCCCUAGUACGAGAGGACCGGGACGGACGAACCUCUGGUGUGCCAGUUGUUCUGCCAAGGGCAUGGCUGGUUGGCUACGUUCGGGAGGGAUAACCGCUGAAAGCAUCUAAGCGGGAAGCCUGCUUCGAGAUGACGGACUCCCACCUCCUAGAGAGGGUAAGCUCCCAGUAGACGACUGGGUU
rnacentral:ncRNA from 1 species